GAUGAACGCUAGCGACAGGCCUAACACAUGCAAGUCGAGGGGCAGCACAUGAGUAGCAAUACGAUGGUGGCGACCGGCGCACGGGUGAGUAACACGUAUGCAACCUGCCUGUAAGAGGGGAAUAACCCGGAGAAAUUCGGACUAAUACCGCAUAAUACCACGAGACUGCAUGGUUUUGUGGUUAAACAUUUAUGGCUUACAGAUGGGCAUGCGUAUGAUUAGAUAGUUGGUAGGGUAACGGCCUACCAAGUCUACGAUUAUUAGGGGUUCUGAGAGGAAGGUCCCCCACACUGGUGCAGAGACACGGACCAAACUCCUACGGGAGGCAGCGGGGAGGAAUAUUGGUCAAGUGGCGAGAGCCUGAACCAGCCAAGUCGCGUGAAGGAAGAAGGUUCUAUGGAUUGUAAACUUCUUUUGCAGGGGAAUAAAUGACGGUACGUGUACUGUUUUGUAUGUACCUUGCGAAUAAGGAUCGGCUAACUCCGUGCCAGCAGCCGCCGUAAUAC
rnacentral:rRNA from 1 species